rnacentral:rRNA from 1 species
UGGGGAAUAUUGCACAAUGGGCGCAAGCCUGAUGCAGCCAUGCCGCGUGUGUGAAGAAGGCCUUCGGGUUGUAAAGCACUUUCAGCGAGGAGGAAGGUGGUGAGCUUAAUACGCUCAUCAAUUGACGUUACUCGCAGAAGAAGCACCGGCUAACUCCGUGCCAGCAGCCGCGGUAAUACGGAGGGUGCAAGCGUUAAUCGGAAUUACUGGGCGUAAAGCGCACGCAGGCGGUUUGUUAAGUCAGAUGUGAAAUCCCCGGGCUCAACCUGGGAACUGCAUUUGAAACUGGCAAGCUAGAGUCUCGUAGAGGGGGGUAGAAUUCCAGGUGUAGCGGUGAAAUGCGUAGAGAUCUGGAGGAAUACCGGUGGCGAAGGCGGCCCCCUGGACGAAGACUGACGCUCAGGUGCGAAAGCGUGGGGCAGCAAACAGGAUUAGAUACCCUGGUAGUCCA